rnacentral:rRNA from 1 species
AAACUUAAAGGAAUUGACGGAAGGGCACCACCAGGAGUGGAGCCUGUGGCUUAAUUUGACUCAACACGGGAAACCUCACCCGGCCCGGACACUGGAACGAUUGACAGAUUGAAAGCUCUUUCUUAAUGAAGUGGAUGGUGGUGCAUGGCCGUUCUUAGUUGGUGGAGUGAUCUGUCUGGUUAAUUCCGAUAACGAACGAGACUCUGUCCUGCUAAAUAGUGUCUGCUUCUCUUUUGAGCAGACAAUUCUUCUUAGAGGGACUGGCGACUCUUAGUCGCACGAGAUUGAGCAAUAACAGGUCUGUGAUGCCCUUAG